rnacentral:rRNA from 1 species
AGCGAACGCUGGCGGCAGGCUUAACACAUGCAAGCCGAACGGACCCUUCGGGGUUAGUGGCGGACGGGUGAGUAACACGUGGGAAUGUGCCCUUAGGUUCGGAACAACACAGGGAAACUUGUGCUAAUACCGGAUGUGCCCUUCGGGGAAAGAUUUAUUGCCUUUGGAGCAGCCCGCGUCUGAUUAGCUAGUUGGUGAGGUAAAGGCUCACCAAGGCGACGAUCAGUAGCUGGUCUGAGAGGAUGGCCAGCCACAUUGGGACUGAGACACGGCCCAAACUCCUACGGGAGGCAGCAGUGGGGAAUCUUGCGCAAUGGGCGAAAGCCUGACGCAGCCAUGCCGCGUGGAUGAUGAAGGUCUUAGGAUUGUAAAAUCCUUUCACCGGGACGAUAAUGACGGUACCCGGA